ensembl:ncRNA F07F6.10 ncRNA
GUCGUCUUGGAAACACUGAAAUUAUAUAAAUUGGGAUUUAUAUUCAACAAAUAUACACUUACAGCCAAAUUGUCAAUGAUUUUUUCAUGGUGAUGCAGAUUGCUAGACAAGUAGAGGACACGAUUGAUGAGAACGAAUCCAGACG